UGGCAUGAGAGCUGUGGUCACCAGGGAAAGCAUGAAAGAAUAUACCACACCAGCACAAAGUUAUUCAGGAAAAAUCUGUAAAGAAAAAAUAAGUGUCUGAGACUGCAAGGCAGCUGUUUCAAAUAAUAAAAUAUCAUUUGCAUCUCUGCUGAGGGUUUUGGUUCUGUCGACUGGUUGUGUCCCAUGCAUUUUUCCUGAACUUGCUGCUCAUUUUUUUGAGCUUAGCCAGUUACGAUUAAACCAUCAAGUAGGUACACUUGUUUGUUUCAGAUAUAUGAGAGACAGUAAAGCUUCAUUUCAAAUAGAGAUGCCCAAGAGGAAAAGGUUAGAAAGUGUUGUGCAAAGCUGUGAAAUUCUGACUAGCAAUUUAAAGUGGAAUCAGACAAUUCAGUGUGAAUAGGGG
rnacentral:lncRNA from 1 species